rnacentral:rRNA from 1 species
UACGAAGGGGGCUAGCGUUGCUCGGAAUUACUGGGCGUAAAGCGUGCGCAGGCGGUUAUAUAAGUCAGAUGUGAAAUCCCCGGGCUCAACCUGGGAACUGCAUUUGAGACUGUAUAGCUAGAGUACGGUAGAGGGGGAUGGAAUUCCGCGUGUAGCAGUGAAAUGCGUAGAUAUGCGGAGGAACACCGAUGGCGAAGGCAAUCCCCUGGACCUGUACUGACGCUCAUGCACGAAAGCGUGGGGAGCAAACAGG